UCACUGGUUCCCAUAUGAUCACUGAAGUUAAGCAACGUUGAGCCUGGUCAGUACAUAAAUGGAUGAUUGGGAAUACCAGGUGCUGUAAG